UGAAAUUGUUGAAAGGGAAGGCGAUGGUAGGAAUAAGAGGCUGCGGUUUGAAAUAAUUGUUUUUCGGGCCACGGUCUCCUGAGCCUGCUUUCGCACCCGUCUUGA
rnacentral:rRNA from 1 species